rnacentral:rRNA from 1 species
CCAAGGAGUCUAACAUGUGCGCGAGUCGUCGGGUCUUGAAUAGGCCCGCAGGCGUAAUGAAAGUGAAGGGCGACCUCGGCGUCGUCUGCGUUGGGAUCCCCAGUUCCCUGGAUCUGGGGCGCACCAACGGCCCGUCCCGUCCGCCUUGUCGGUGGGACGGAGCGAGAGCGUACACGUUGGGACCCGAAAGAUGGUGAACUAUGCCUGGGCAGGACGAGGCCAGAGGAAACUCUGGUGGAGGUCCGCAGCGAUUCUGACGUGCAAAUCGAUCGUCAGACCUGGGUAUAGGGGCGAAAGACUAAUCGAACCAUC